rnacentral:rRNA from 1 species
AAUUAAAACAUGCCCUUCGCGGGCUCUCUGAGUGAAUCAUGAUAACUAGUCGAAUCGACUAGGCCUUGUGCCGGCGAAUUCAAAUUUCUUCCCUAUCAACUUUCGAUGUUUGGGUAUUGGCCAAACAUGGUGGCAACGGGUAACGGAGGGUUAGGGCUCGACCCCGGAGAAGGAGCCUGAGAAACGGCUACUACAUCCAAGGAAGGCAGCAGGCGCGCAAAUUACCCAAUCCCGACACGGGGAGGUAGUGACAAUAAAUACUGAUACAGGGGCUCUUUUGGGUCUUGUAAUCGGAAUGAGUACAAUUUAAAUCCCUUAACGAGGAACAAUUGGAGGGCAAGUCUGGUGCCAGCAGCCGCGGUAAUUCCAGCUCCAAUAGCGUAUAUUAAAGUUGUUGUGGUUAAAAAGCUCGUAGUUGAACCUUGGGCCUGGCUGGCCGGUCCGCCUCACCGCGUGCACUGGUCCGGCCGGGCCUUUCCCUCUGCGGAACCCCAUGCCCUUCACUGGGGUUGUGG